UUGAAGGGUUUGAUCCUGGCUCAGAAUGAACGUUGUCGGCGUGGAUUAGGCAUGCAAGUCGAGCGACAAGCUCAGACGGAUCCCUUCGGGGUGAAGACUGAGUGGAGGAGCGGCAAACGGGGUAGUUAGGCGCAGGUACGUACCCUCAGGUCGGGGAUAGCCAUGGGAAACUGUGGGUAAUACCCGAUAAUCCGGUAACGGCAAAGGUGUGAUUCCGCCGGAGGAGCGGUCUGCGUGGUAUUAGCUUGUUGGUGAGGUAAUGGCUCACCAAGGCGACGAUCGGUAGCUGGUCUGAGAGGAUGAUCAGCCACACUGGGACUGAGACACGGCCCAGACUCCUACGGGAGGCAGCAGUGGGGAAUAUUGGACAAUGGGCGAAAGCCUGAUCCAGCAAUGCCGCGUGUGUGAUGAAGGCCCUAGGGUUGUAAAGCACUUUCGCCGAUGACGAUGAUGACGGUAGUCGGAUAAGAAGCCCCGGCUAACUCCGUGCCAGCAGCCGCGGUAAUACGGAGGGGGCGAGCGUUGUUCGGAAUUACUGGGCGUAAAGC
rnacentral:rRNA from 1 species